rnacentral:rRNA from 1 species
UCCUCAUUAUAUUAUAUGAGGUACGACCUGCUCAAUGCGAAUUUGUAAAUAGCCGCAGUAUUCUGACUGUGCAAAGGUAGCAUAAUAAAUUGGCCUUUAAUUGAGGUCUGGAAUGAAUGGUUUGACAAGGAUUUGACUGUCUUAAAGCAGAAUUUUUUGAAGUUAAAUUGUUUGUAAAAAUGCAGACAUGUAGGAGAGGGACGAGAAGACCCUAUAGAUCUUUAAAAAAGUUGAUUUAAAAUAUUUAUUUAAAGUAAUUUUUUUUUAUUUGGGGAAAAUCCUGAAAUUGAAUGUCUGAAGUAAACUUCGGUUAACUAAAUCAAAAAAAAAUCAAAUGAUUAUUAAUUUGAUCCACAUUAUGUGAAAAAAUGAAAAAGUUACCUUAGGGAUAACAGGACAAUGAUCUUUUAUAAGAGACCUUAUCUUAAAGGACGUUUGUUACCUCGAUGUUGAAUUAAGUUAUCUAAUUAAAGGAGAGAUUUUUAAAGUUGGUCUGUUCGACCAUUAAAAAC